rnacentral:rRNA from 1 species
AUGAUGGCAAAGCUCUCCCAAGAGCAGUUAAACAACGGCGUUAUCUGCUCCUCUGCUGGAAACCAUGCUCAAGGAGUUGCUCUUUCUGCCCAAAGAUUGGGCUGUCAUGCCGUUAUUGUCAUGCCUGUGACAACACCAGAAAACAAGUGGCGAUCAGUGGAGAAACUGGGUGCGACAGUCGUUCUCAAAGGAGAUUCAUAUGACGAAGCUCAAUCAUAUGCAAAACUAUGCUGUGAGGAGGAAGGCCUCACAUUCAUAGCUCCUUUUGACCAUCCCGACAUUAUUGCUGGACAAGGAACUGUUGGCAUGGAAAUUGUUCGCCAAUUGCAAGGUCCAUUACAUGCAAUAUUUGUACCUGUGGGAGGUGGUGGAUUAAUUGCUGGAAUUGCUGCCUAUGUGAAACGGGUCUGCCCUGAGGUCAAAAUAAUUGGAGUGGAGCCCUCAGAUGCAAAUGCCAUGGCAUUGUCCUUGUUUCAUGGCCAGAGGGUCAUGUUAGAACAUAUUGGAGGGUUUGCUGAUGGUGUAGCUGUCAAAGUUGUAGGCAAGGAGACAUUUCCCUUGUGUCAAGAUUUUGUAGAUGGCAUUGUCCUGGUCAGCCAAGAUGCUAUCUGUGCUUCAAUAAAGGAUAUGUUUGAGGAGAACAGGAAUAUCCUUGAACCUUCUGGGGCCCUUGCCUUGGCUGGGGCUGAAGCUUACUGCAAAUACUAUGGUUUGAAAGGGGAAACUGUGGUUGCAAUAAGUAGCGGUGCAAAUAUGAACUUUGAUACACUUAGAUUAGUAACCGAGCUUCCUGAUGUUGGUCGAAAACCAGAAGCGGUAUUACCUACAUUUUCGCCGAAGGAGCAGGGAAGCUUCAAAGAGUUUGCAGAACUGGUAUGCAUCAUGAUUUUUCAACCAACACAUGAUAGUAGAUAUUCUAUUUCUUUUCUUGUGACUUCUUGUUGUGCAGGUUGGCCGGAUGAAUAUUACCGAAUUCAAACACAUAUAUGA